CCUACGGGGGGCAGCAGUGGGGAAUAUUGGACAAUGGGGGCAACCCUGAUCCAGCCAUGCCGCGUGUGUGAAGAAGGCCCUCGGGUUGUAAAGCACUUUCAGUGAGGAAGAACGCCUGGUGGUUAAUACCCAUCAGGAAAGACAUCACUCACAGAAGAAGCACCGGCUAACUCCGUGCCAGCAGCCGCGGUAAUACGGAGGGUGCGAGCGUUAAUCGGAAUUACUGGGCGUAAAGCGCGCGUAGGUGGCUUGAUAAGCCGGUUGUGAAAGCCCCGGGCUCAACCUGGGAACGGCAUCCGGAACUGUCAAGCUAGAGUGCAGGAGAGGAAGGUAUAAUUCCCGGUGUAGCGGUGAAAUGCGUAGAGAUCGGGAGGAAUACCAGUGGCGAAGGCGGCCUUCUGGACUGACACUGACACUGAGGUGCGAAAGCGUGGGUAGCAAACAGGAUUAGAACCCGGGUAGUC
rnacentral:rRNA from 1 species